GCCAGACUCCUACGGGAGGCAGCAGUGGGGAAUAUUGGGCAAUGGGCGCAAGCCUGACCCAGCAACGCCGCGUGAAGGAAGAAGGCUUUCGGGUUGUAAACUUCUUUUCUCAGGGACGAAGAAAGUGACGGUACCUGAGGAAUAAGCCACGGCUAACUACGUGCCAGCAGCCGCGGUAAUACGUAGGUGGCAAGCGUUAUCCGGAUUUACUGGGUGUAAAGGGCGUGUAGGCGGGACUGCAAGUCAGAUGUGAAAACCACGGGCUCAACCUGUGGCCUGCAUUUGAAACUGUAGUUCUUGAGUACUGGAGAGGCAGACGGAAUUCCUAGUGUAGCGGUGAAAUGCGUAGAUAUUAGGAGGAACACCAGUGGCGAAGGCGGCUUUCUGGCGCAUAACUGACGCUGAGGCGCGAAAGCGUGGGGAGCAAACAGGAUUAGAUACCCUUGUACG
rnacentral:rRNA from 1 species